rfam:Gasterosteus aculeatus cont1.010150, whole genome shotgun sequence.
GGUAAUGUAGCUCAGUGGUAGAGUGCAUUCAUUGCAUGUAUGAGGUCCUGGGUUCAAUCCCCAGCAUCUCCA